GGGACAGUGGAGGGAGGCGGCAGCCCAAGUACCGGUGAGGCUGGGCCGUCAGUACUUGCAGAGAGCAGCAGCAGCCGCCUCAGUCUCUAGUGAAUCUUAACCAAGGGCAGGAGAGUCAAAAGGGUGUUUUUAGGCUGGGAGAGAACUCUAUCUGCGGAAAAGAAACCCGCUUGUGGACAACAGGGGCCAAGCCUGGAGUGAGGCCCCUAUGCUGCCUCUUGGACCUUCUUCUGGCAGGGUCAGCCUGUGCCCAUGCGUCCAGUCUCCAGGGCAAGGACCUGUGCUGGGGGCCGAUCUCACUCAAGAAGGGUGGGAAGAGCUGGGGGCUGAUGACUUGUUUGUUCUCAGGGAAGGACCAGCCUCGGUGGGACCAGCAGGGUGCUGAGGGGAGGAGGUCAGCUUCCUCUGAGAAGCGUGUGGGUCAGUUGUGUGACUCCGCCCGACCCUCCUGUUCUUGGUGGCCCAGAGACUGGACUUGGGGCUCUGUGAUUCCUUUUUUUUUUUUUUUUUUAGUAAUUUCUGUUCUAUUUUUUGUUCUCAUUACAAAAUCAGUGCAUGUUUAUUGUGCCUGUAUGCUCAGUUGCUCAGUGGAGUCAGACUCUUUGCGACCCCCUGGACUAUAGCCCACAGGGCUCCUAUGUCCAUGGGAUUCUCCAGGGAAGAACAUUGGAGUGGGUUGCUAUUUCCUCCUCCAGGGGAUCUUCCCAGUCCAGGAAUUGGAACCCACAUCUCCGGCAUUACAGGCUGAUUUCCUCACACUGUUGGUGGUGCAUUUGAAAACAUGGGACACAGCCUGUGCAGCGAUGCCCUUGGCCAGUGACGACACUCAGCAGCCCUUCCCAAGUCUUACUGAGAAUCCCUUGCCUGUCAAGAACUCCCCUGGGCCCUGAGAAUGCCCCGUGAACAGAAGAAAACAGGCAUCGGUAAGUGAGGCUGCGAGGCGAACUAAAGACUUCAGAAGGAUGGAGAGGGGUUGGGGCUUUUGAGCUCUGACCUGCAAGGAUGAAGUGAGGAAACCAGCCAUGCACAAGAUGUAUCAGGAAAGUACCAGGUUGUUGUUUAAUCCUCUCAGAUAAUCCCGAAAGGCAGAUAUUUCUACAUAAGAGGAAACAGGAGCAUGGGAAGGUGAAGCUGCGUGCCAGGCUAAUACAGCUGGAGGUGCAGGGCCUGGGCUGUCCUCUCUGUACCUCCUCUCCCCCCAUCUCACAUGGCCCCUCUCUGUUCACCCUCCACUGGGUCCUGUCC
ensembl:lncRNA